AAGGUCAUCAUUUAAGGCUGCUAACCUUAUAUUAAUGGAAACAUUUGACCUUU
rnacentral:tRNA from 1 species